rnacentral:rRNA from 1 species
AAAGGUUGACCUCGGAUCAGGUAGGAAUACCCGCUGAACUUAAGCAUAUCAAUAA